UAAACUCUUUUCGUUUUGCAUAUAACUUAAACACUAAUAAAAAGUGAAGUUAUAAGAUUGAUAGUGUCUCUGCUAUGACAACCAAAAUAUAUUUUAUAGGAGACUAAUUUGGAGUUCUUAUUAACAUCCAUAAUAAUUUUAAAAAGAAAACAAAAAACAAACAGAUCCAAGAAUCUCACAUAGCCUCAUAGGAAAAGUUAAUCUCUUAGAAGUUUCAGCGGCAUAUAAAAAAAUUGUUCUAGACAACUUAGAACGAAACAUCAGCAGACUAUGGCUCAUCCAAUUACGAUAUUAUUCCUAAUGUUGGAGGUUGGAAUCGUAUCAUCAGCUCCGAGUAGAGAGAACCUUGAUUUUGGUAGCUUAAAUGUUUCAGAAUCAAAGCGUGACGGUUUGUAUACAUAUAUUAGGUUAUAAUUUAAAUUAGAAGGACAAGUUUCCUGAGAGUUUCAGUUAUUUAUUAUAAAAUGAAUACGUUUGAAUACUAUUUAGAAAAGAAUAGUAAUAGAGUUUGUGUCUUAUUUUUUUUUCUUAAUAGAUUUAACAUUCAAUUAUAUAAGUGUAUUGGUAAAAAAAAAAACUAUAACUUCAAUUAUUGGAGAUUGGUUUUUUUGGUAAGGUUUAAAUGCCCGAGGGAGAUAACAAAUUUUGAAGAAAUGCUUAAGAUAAUAAAGAUUAGAACAGAUUGGACGUUAUAGACAGUAAUCAUUUAUUGCAGAAAAAUGGUCAAAGUUCUAAAUUCAAACUACCAUAAUAUAAAGACUUUAAAUGAUUUGAAUUAUCUUUAUAAGUCCAGAAGAUAUGUAAAUGAAUACAACAGUCGUAUAGUUCAAAACUCACUGCAAUAAAUGAAUACUUCAUACAUGAGUAAAUAUAAUCCCAUGCAAAUAGUUUCCAAUCCCCAAUUAUUACUCCAUACAUUUUUUGUUUGGUGAUUGGUAAUUAAAAAAAAAGUUUAUUCCAAUGUUCCGAAUAUUCGGAGAAAUAAACAACAUACUCUAUUACACUUUUUUCUUCAUGGUGGAUAUGCCUACUGGGGAAG